AUAUAUAUAAUCCAGCCUCCAGUGACUGUCUCUUGACAGCCGCUAGAGGCGCUUGCGUGCUUCUCACUGUGAAAAUCACAGUGAGAAGACGCCAGCGUCCAUAGGAAAGCAUUGUGAAUGCUUUCCUAUGGACUGGCUGCGCGCGCGGCUCCUGCCGCGCAUGCGCAUUCAGCCAAAGAGGAGGAGAAGAGGGAGGAGAGGAGGAGGAGAGCUCCCUGCCCGGUGCUGGAAAAAAAGGUAAGAUUUAACCCUAUCCUCUCGAUCCAGCCAGGCGGGAGGGGGACCCUGAGGGUGGGGGCACCCUCAGGGCACUAAGUGCCAGGAAAACAAGUAUGUUUUCCUGGCACUAUAGUGGUCCUUUAAGCUUUACAUGUUAAACAUAGGACUAUAAUGGUUUUCUCUUUUUUAAAAUCUGCUAUUGAUGUGAGAGAUGCCCCAUGUCUUUGAUCUUUUUGUUAAUUCAAAUUUCACAUAAUUUAUUUUUACUCAUUACUUCAAAACAGUCUUUUACUGACGAGUGAUUUAAUACAUUUCACUGCAUAGCUUGAAG